rnacentral:rRNA from 1 species
GACGAACGCUGGCGGCGUGCUUAACACAUGCAAGUCGAACGGAAAGGCCCUGCUUGCAGGGUACUCGAGUGGCGAACGGGUGAGUAACACGUGGGUGAUCUGCCCUGCACUUCGGGAUAAGCCUGGGAAACUGGGUCUAUUACCGGAUAGGAGCCCUUUUUAGUGUGUUGGUUGGAAAGUUUUUUCGGUGUAGGCUGAGCUCGCGGCCUAUCAGCUUGUUGGUGGGUUAAUGGCAUACCAAGGCGCCGACGGGUAGCCGGCCUGGGAGGGUGGACGGCCACAGUGGGACUGAGAUACGGCCCAGACUCCGACGGGAGGCAGCAGUGGGGAAGAUUGAACAAGGGGAGCAAGCCUGAUGCAGCGACGCCGCGUGGGGGAUGACGGACUUCGGGUUGUAAACUCCUUUCGCUAGGGACGAAGCUUUUUGUGACGGUACCUAGAUAAGAAGCACCGGCUAACUACGUG